rnacentral:rRNA from 1 species
AGCGAACGCUGGCGGCAGGCUUAACACAUGCAAGUCGAACGGGCACCUUCGGGUGUCAGUGGCAGACGGGUGAGUAACACGUGGGAACGUGCCCUUUGGUUCGGAACAACUCCGGGAAAC